CAGCAGGGCUCCAAUGAGGGUGCUUCUGCUUUACAAGAGCAGCUAUUCCUGCUAUAUGCGGUGCAGCCAUGCUAGUUCCAGAUACCAAGGCAAAUCCCUCUCCUGUGCAAAGCAAAUAGUCGCUUAAAAUGAGAUAAAAUUCCAUGUCCUAGUCUAAAGUGACCAAGUUUGACCAAGUCCACACGAUUGGAGCAUCAGCUGGAACAUCAAAAAAUAAUAGAGUUGAAUGGACCCAUUAACUCCUUACCAACAUAGUUAGCCUCAUCCGUGCCAUUUGGAGACCAAGCAGCCCAAAUAAGAGAACCAGGAGCUAGGAUGUCUGGUUUGAGAAGAUCUGCAUCUUGGAAGCUGAAAUCUUUUAUGUUGGGCCCUCGAGCAGAAAACAAUGCCACCUGGGGUGCGGAUUUAUGGAGUAUAGGCAUCAGCCCAUCCCCAAUGCUACCAGUGGCUUUGAAGCUCCUCACUCUUCCAGUCCAAUCUCUUGGAGUAGAGAUGUUGUAAUAGUCUAUAAGAUCCUAGAUAUAGCAGUGAUGUGCAAGCACCAAAUAACAUAAUUAUAAGGGUCAUGGACAAGCGAGAACAAAAUAAAGAAAGAUGGGGCGUGGAUGACCGAAAUUAACCAUAAUAAUUAUCAAAAUUAAUACAUUUUAUUAAAGAUGCCAAAAGUGAAAUCUGGAGAGAAUGGCACUAGUCUUAGAGCCUCCCUCCCUCCCUAUCGGGGUUCAUAACAACAGGACCUUCCUUAGACAGCAGGACCUUCCUUAUUUAGCUUUCCUAAUCUGUAUAUAUAUACUUCCUUACUUAGACAUAUCAUGUUCCUUACUAAGACAGAUAAUGUUCCUCAGACAGAUCAUGUAAAUAGUCCUAGUUUCCUUUUGUAGACAGAUUUGAUUACUGUAAAUUUGGCUUGAUUCUAGCCUUGUAUCAUGCACACUUGUGCCUAUAUAAUGAAAGGAAAUCCUCACAAUGGAGGUAUCAAUCCAAUUUGACAGUU